CAUCACGUAGCUCCUCCGAACUCUAAUCUUCACAUUCAGCACGAAAUGUUAAAAUAAAUCCACAUAAUCUCCUUCCUUUCUGCGAGUCACUUUGCAUCAAAAUACUCAGGUGGUCACGCUGUGUAAUCAACAGGUGUGAACCCUCAGGUGUUUUCAGACGCUUCCACCUCUCGCGCCAACUAUUUGCAAAGGUCAAAGAGUAAGUUAGUCUGGUUCUAAUGAGUGUUUCUUUAGGUUCACGGUACAGAGAAAUCGUCAAACUAACCGCCAAACACUUUAGGUUCACGGUACAGAGGAAUGGUCAAACUAACCGCCAAACACUUUAGGUUCACGGUACAGAGGAAUGGUCAAACUAACCGCCAAACACUUUAGGUUCACG